rnacentral:tRNA from 4 species
ACUUAGCUCAGUUGGUAGAGCACCUGACUGUUAAUCAGGUUGUCGCCGGUUCGAGCCCGGCAG